UACGUAGGGUGCGAGCGUUAAUCGGAAUUACUGGGCGUAAAGAGUGCGUAGGCGGAUAUGUAAGUUAGAUGUGAAAUACCUGGGCUUAACCUGGGAGGUGCAUUUAAGACUGUGUAUCUAGAGUUUGUCAGAGGGGGGUAGAAUUCCAAGUGUAGCAGUGAAAUGCGUAGAGAUUUGGAGGAAUACCGAUGGCGAAGGCAGCCCCCUGGGAUAAAACUGACGCUGAGGCACGAAAGCGUGGGUAGCAAACAGG
rnacentral:rRNA from 1 species